GUGCUCCCCCGCCAAUUCCUUUAAGUUUCAGCCUUGCGGCCGUACUUCCCAAGCGGCCCGCUUAACACCUUCGCUCCGGCACUGCCGGCCCCCGAAAGACCGACAACACCAAGCGGGCAGCGUUUACAGCCAGGACUACCCGGGUAUCUAAUCCGGUUUGCUCCCCUGGCCUUCGUCCCUCACCGUCGGAGCCGUUCAAGCUGGACGCUUUCGCCACAGGUGGUCCCCCCAGGAUUACAGCAUUUCACCGCUACCCCGGGAGUACCUCCAGCCUCUCCCGGUCCCAAGACCCGCAGUCUCCCCGGAAUUCCUGACGUUGAGCGCCAGGAUUUACCCAGGGAUUUACGGGUCCGGCUACGGACGCUUUAGGCUCAAUAAAAGCGGCCACCACUUGAGCUGCGGGUAUUACCGCGGCGGCUGGCACCCGUCUUGCCCAGCCCUUAUUCCUGGAGCUUUUUAGGCUCCAGAAAAGCCCUCCCCGAAGGAAGGGCACUCGGGCUCCCCUCGUCGCGCUUUCGCACAUUGCGAAGGUUUCGCGCCUGCUGCGCCCCGUAGGGCCUGGACUCGUGUCUCAGAGUCCAUCUCCGGGCUCCCUCUCUCAAGGCCCGUACCCGUUUUAGGCUUGGUGAGCCGUUACCUCACCAACAACCUGAUGGGCCGCAGUCCCAUCCUCAGGCGAUGACUCAUUUGAGUGUAGAAGCAUUCCAGCAUACUACACCUAUAGGGUAUUAGCCUCAGUUUCCCGAGGUUAUCCCCUUCCUGAGGGCAGGUUAACUACGUGUUACUGAGCAGU
rnacentral:rRNA from 1 species